UGUACCUGGCAGGUAAAAACACCACUGAGAAAUCAUCUCUGGAGAGCCAUACACUCCACCAGGUAGAUAUAAAGAGAAUGAAAAAGUAGCAAGCAGAGAAAACUGAAGCUUUGUCGGAGAUCCUCAGAACUGCCAGGCACGAUCAGUUCAUUUGUUCCCUCAUGUUCACAGUAGGGCUUUGAAUCUGAUUGUGACUUCAUGAUUCAAGAACUACUAUAUUUGCUGUUUGUCCCUGUGUCCUGGCACAAUACCGUCCUAAAGCCUUGGAAUUUCUGAGAAACAGCAUAAAAUCUCUAAAAGAUGAGUUGGUGGCCACAGCUACAUAGAAGAAGCCUCAAGUGCCCACUUGCCAAGGGAACUGAAGCUCCUGCAUUAAAGUUUCUUCUAGACCCUUGCCCUGUGCAAGUCUUUAUCCGUCAAACCAUUUAUCCAUUUGUGAAUGAAAUAUUUAUGACAAAAUGAAGAAAGACUCAUAAAAGACAUCAAAACCUCCUCUACCUGCUCCUGCGGCAAUCUUCUUUUGGACCAGAUUUAAUAAAAGACCACCCCGAAC